UAAGCUACUGUCCAGAGGAGGGAGGGCCGCCAUCUGCGGCCGUUACCUCUUCAACUGGGCGGUAAAAACC
rfam:Hepacivirus hominis isolate 10588 polyprotein gene, complete cds